rnacentral:rRNA from 1 species
AACGAACGCUGGCGGCGUGGAUAAGACAUGCAAGUCGAGCGCUGACUCAAGGGUAGCAAUAUUCUUGAGUCGGAGCGGCGCAAGGGUGCGUAACACGUGGGUAAUUUGCCAUGAAGUCUGGAAUAACUUGCUGAAAGGUGAGCUAAUGCCGGAUGUGAUUUUUGGAGAGCAUUCUCCGAAACUCAAAGUUGGGGACCGUAAGGCCUGACGCUUCUUGANAAGCCCGCGGCCUAUCAGCUAGUUGGUGAGGUAACGGCUCACCAAGGCUAAGACGGGUAGCUGGUCUGAGAGGACGACCAGCCACACUGGAACUGAGACACGGUCCAGACACCUACGGGUGGCAGCAGUCGAGAAUUUUUCACAAUGGGCGAAAGCCUGAUGGAGCGACGCCGCGUGGGGAGUGAAUGGCUUCGGCCCCGUAAACCCCUGUCAUUGCGAACAAACCUUACCGGUUAACAACCGGUGAGCUGAUUGUAGCGGAAGAGGAAGGGACGGCU